GCUAAUGUGUUCACACUAUCUGAGUGGUUGUACUGAGGUAUCCUCACAAAAUAGUGAAGUUAUCAUGACAUGUCAAUGUGUAAAGAAAAUCAUUGAUUACGCAUCUAGAUCUUAGGUUCUAGCAUGGUCUAAUAUUUCUACCGGAGUAAUUCCGUAUUGCACAACCACCAUCACUGAACAAUUGACUUGCUAACCAUUCUAAUCACCUGAGUACAAGGCCAUGUUAUUUGACAGCUAUAUUUUCUAUUGCUGAGAAACCGGGAAGUAUAGGAGAUGAAUUUUUAUUCCACCCCACCCUUCAGAAUAUUUUUGUUGAGUAGCAUGCACAUCUCAAUCAUAUGCAUUCCCCCUUUGAUUCAUUUUUAAAAC
rnacentral:lncRNA from 1 species